rnacentral:tRNA from 1 species
GGCUUCAGAGCUCAGUUGGUCCAGCAUCGCACCGGUAUCGCGGAGAGAUCACAGGUUCGAAUCCCGUUGAAGCCC